CACGUAGGGCGCGAGCGUUGUCCGGAUUUAUUGGGCGUAAGGAGCGUGUAGGCGGCCGUACAGGUCAGCUGUGAAAACUCGAGGCUCAACCUCGAGACGUCGGUUGAAACCGUACGGCUAGAGUCCGGAAGAGGAGAGUGGAAUUCCCGGUGUAGCGGUGAAAUGCGCAGAUAUCGGGAAGAACACCCGUGGCGAAGGCGGCUCUCUGGGACGGUACUGACGCUGAGACGCGAAAGCGUGGGGAGCGAACAGG
rnacentral:rRNA from 1 species